GAGAGGAACAGAACAAAACAAAACAAACAACGCGCUCAUCCACAACAUCGAUAAGUUCUAAUCUCAGAGGCCAGAGCAGUGUGAAUGGAAAAUUAGAAGGAAGUAGAAGGUGUAAUUCCAGAACACUGGAUCAAAGUGUGUGGCGGCCCCCAAAUAAAUAUGACAAAGCAGUAAAGGAUUGGUACACACCCUCUCUGAAAUGGAAGUCCUUUCAGCUUCUGAGGAUAAAACUCACAUCAGAAUCAAAACAACAUUGGGAAGACGUCGAAAUUACUGAAGCCAGUGAAGUGGAGAUGUCCAAGAGAAACCGAACUGGCAAAGGUCUACCCAAGCUCCCACCAAAAUAUUCCCCAAAGCACCAGAAAACCUGUGCCACCGCUACCAAGAAGCAAAAAGCUAAUACGCAGCACAAACCACCAAGAAGAUCCGGCCCUGGGGAAUGACGUCGGCCGAUUUUAUAAAAACACUCACGGACGUCUAGUAAUGGACCGUACAUUUGCAAUAUGGAGAUCCUCAUCAACCAUACGGGUAAUGCCAUCGGCGUCCCUUAUGCUUAACCCUGGAGCUUGAGGGCUUGAGGUCUCCUACCUCCUUAAUUGAGGGAUCCCCCUUACCAAAUCGCUGCAAAGGAUCAGAACCUUUUUUUGUGACAGAUGCAAAAAACCUGUGCCAGUACCGCUAAGAAGCAAAAGGCUUAAAUUUCCUGCAAGACACCAAGUGUGAGGAUGGGGAAACGGCAAACUAAAACGCUGCACAAGUCAGACGAGAUGAGAGAUCCCACCCCCAUCACCAAAAUCGAAUUCGACUUUAACCUGAACUAGACGGAGGACUAUUUACUAAAGAUGGAAGAGCAGCUAAUGGAGAAGGAUUUUUUUAAAUACAUGAUACAGAAUCUCAAAGCUGGGGGGAGAGACAUCCCAGACUGGGUGAAGUGAGCAAUGCACCGAACCCUGAUAACCGGCCUCAUGUCAUCGAAGAAUAUGAAAGGGAAGAGGGCCUUUGAGAACUCCAACCUUUGCAGACAUUAUAGCAGGUGAAAGUCUUUGCGAAUCAAUGCUACAGAGGCAAACAUAGUACAGGCAAUGCCAACCUGCCUGAAAUAUGCACCUAACCGCAA
ensembl:lncRNA